GUGCCAGCAGCCGCGGUAAUACGUAGGUGGCAAGCGUUGUCCGGAUUUACUGGGCGUAAAGAGCGCGCAGGCGGUCGGAUCAGUCGAAUGUGAAAGCCCCCGGCUCAACUGGGGAGGGUCAUUCGAUACUGUCCGACUCGAAGGCAGGAGAGGGAAGCGGAAUUCCCGGUGUAGUGGUGAAAUGCGUAGAUAUCGGGAGGAACACCAGUGGCGAAGGCGGCUUUCUGGCCUGUUCUUGACGCUGAGGCGCGAAAGCUAGGGGAGCGAACGGGAUUAGAAACCCCAGUAGUCC
rnacentral:rRNA from 1 species